CCUACGUGAGGCUGCAGUGAGGAAUAUUGGUCAAUGGCCGGAAGGCUGACCCAGCCAAGCCGCGUGAAGGACGAAGGUGCCAAGCAUUGUAAACUUCUUUUGUCAAGGGACAAAAUCAGGCUCGAGAGCCUGACCGAGGGUACUUGAAGAAAAAGCAUCGGCUAACUCCGUUCCAGCCGCCGCGGUAAUACGGGGGAUGCGAGCGUUAUCCGGAUUUAUGGGGUUUAACGGGUGCGUAGGCGGGCUGUUAAGUCAGCGGUAAAAGCCCGGGGCUCAACCCCGGCGAGCCGUUGAAACUGGCUGUCUUGAGAUGUCGAGAGGUAUGCGGAAUGCGCAGUGUAGCGGUGAAAUGCUUAGAUAUUGCGCAGAACUCCGAUUGCGAAGGCGGAUUGCUGGACAGUAACUGACGCUGAGGCGCGAAAGCGUGGGGAGCAAACAGGAUUAGAUACCCGUGUAGUC
rnacentral:rRNA from 1 species